rnacentral:lncRNA from 1 species
AACAAAGGACCCUGGUGGUUGAGGUGAAUUAAAGAAAGGUCGCUCCAAAGUUUAUGUCGUUGGACAUAUCUAGUAGAGCCAUAAAUAGCCGGCAAGUUGUAAAUUUGUUAUCAACAGAGAUAGACAUAGAAAGAUGCUAAUUAGUGGAGGAUAGAAUCGAAAUAUCAGGUUUUAAUUCAGGGGAACAAAUACACCACUGGUUAGGAGCCAAAGGGCUCCUAUUAUUAGUUGGGAAAGGAAUGAGAUGCCAUUAUCUCCAUAAAUUUGCAGGAAAGGAAUCAAGAAGGGUCCAAGGCUUGGCCAAGAAGAGCAGGUCGAUUUUGUUGGAUACAUAACUCCUUUAAGACACGCCUAGUAUCCAAGUUGGUGAUGUCCCUAGCAUUCCAAAACAUGACCUUCAUUUUCGAUGAGAUGAAGAACCACCCUUAGCACGAGUGUUAUGAAUUCUACUAGCACUAGGAGAUGAUUCCUUUUGCUUCAAUCUUUUUAUUUUGUGAUUUAGAAAGCACCACUUUAAAGUCAAGGUCUGCUAGGGGAGCAGUUUCUUCCGGGUUCGGGAUUUCUUCAUUUGAGCAUUCCUCUAUCAGAUCAGCCAAAAAUCUAGAGACCACCCUUAGGACAUUGGCUGCAGCAACUGAAACUAAUUGAAUGAGAUCUAUUUCAUUCACCUGGGUGCCUACAAUGGGAGAAAAGGAACUGGAAAAGG